CGGCUACGGCGGGGGACCAGAGCACCGAGGCGGCAGCGGCCCCUCCAGGAAAAGGUGCAUGGCUAAUUUGUCGUUUGUAGUUAGUAAUGGCUUGAGCUAAACUCCUCUAACCGGAAGGCAUUCCCCGCUUCUUCAAAGGAUAGAGUACUGGAGAAAAUGUGGCAAGUGAUUGGAUGUUUGCUUCAGAAGUUUCAGCAACUCAGCUUUGCAACUACCAGCUACAAGCUCUUUUCUUGAUUGCACUAUGAAAAAGUUGCAAAUGGGAUGGACUUAUAGAACCAAAAGCCAUUUUUUUCAAAUGAAGAUAACUGAAGGAGUUUGAUCUUCAUUGCCUUCUAAUCACAGUUGAG
rnacentral:lncRNA from 1 species